GUUGAUACACCUGUUCCCAUAGAUUCACUGAAGUUAAGCUAUAUCGAGCCUAGUCAGUACGCAGAUAGGUGACCGCUUGGGAACACCAGGUGUUGUCAG